ensembl:lncRNA LINC02997 long intergenic non-protein coding RNA 2997
GGGGAUGUAGGAGUGUGCAGAGAAGAAGCCAUGUUUUGAGGACACUCAAGCAACCUUUGGAGAGGCCCACAUGGGAAGGAACUGAAACCUCCUACCAAAAACCAGCGCUAAUUUGCCAGUCAUGGGUAAAAGCUGACUUGGCAGAAGCUGUCUGAUACUGUGGGUCAUCCUGACCUUGAGACUGCGCAACGUGCCCUGGCAGAUUCAGAGUGUGUCCUGCUAGAACCCAUGUGCUGGACUCAUUUCCAAUCUUAUGAUGGGGAACACACGAGAAGUAUAAACCAAGUGCAAUCGAUAUCAAAAGGAAGAGAUUUCUUCUGUUUGGGGACAUGAGGAGUAAGGAACAUCACUAUCAUCCACGUAAGUGAGUGUGCCUGCAGCAUGCAUUCAUUACUGCAUCUGAUGGAAGCACAAAGGGAGAGACAAAGAUGCAGAGAACAAUGGAUAUCUGCCAGUGAAUGAGUCUGUUGAAAUCACCACACCAAAUUCAACAUUAAGGGCCAACCCUGACCACAGCUGAGCCGUGUGAAGAGGCUGACAGCGGCGUGGCCACCACCCAGGAUGGAGAGAAAGGCACUGUGAGGUGUUAAUGGAAAAAUCCAACUUCCUUUUCUUCCAAAGAUGAUGACUGAAACCAAAGUGGAGCUUUCCCUUGUGAAGUGAAAGCAAAGUUUUAAAAUUUUUUCUCCUCUGCAAGAAAAUAUAUUUCAGAAAAUCUCUAUCUCAAAAAUGAAGCAAUUAAGAACUGUCUGGCUGUGAGGAUCUGGCCUCAACUUGACUUAAAGCAACAACUUCAGUUACAUAUCAAGAUGUGCGUGAGAAUGAACCUGCUCUGCUCAGCCAACGUGCUGAGUGACUUGAUGUUUGUAAUAAAUAAAUAAAUAAACAACAAACAGGUUGUCAUGAAAUAUCCUUUGUAAUUAUAAACACAGGAAACUUUCUGAGAUGCAAGUGGGUGUUAAAUGGUUCAGCAAAGCCAAGCCAGAGCAGUUGGUGUGCUUUGAAAUGAAGCAACAUUGGAAAAAUGAAAUCUACUGAAAGAUCACUACGUGUUUCAAAGAACUGACUAGAACCAGAACUCUUCAGAAAAGAAUGUGCUAAAGGUUUGUCCUUGAGAAGUUUCCAAGCCAAGACACUCCUAGGAGCACUUCCCAUUGAGGCCGAAAGGCUCAUCCACUUACAGCGAUUCAUGGGAAAAGAGGACAGCACCCUCAUCUUUGGUCCAAGAACACAAUCCUGAGUGACACAGGAUUGCCCUGAAAGUCAACAGCAUCCGUCUUACAAAAAUCAACAACACUCGCUUUUCAAACUUCCAAAGAAUUUACUGGUCUGGUUUGGCCUUUUGGUGCCACAUUCCAUUCCAGAACCCCAGCUAAAAUGUUCUCAAGGGCUGACCAGAGAUUCCUCCUCCUUUCUCUGGGCUGGUACAACUUGACCGCUGCUUGACAUCAAGGUCAACUGGAGACUGGGAACAGUUAUGUAACUGUGUUGUAAAUUGAAUUAGAGCUGUACAUGAGCCCAGACCAAGUAACCAGUGCAGCUCCAGGCAAGAGCAGCAACAUGUCCCCCAGAGACAGCAUUGGAGGAACAGCUUACUGGGGAAUGGAAAAAGGGUAUCACAGGGUAAAAAAGAAACCGUCUCUUUCCAGUCCUUCUAAAGUCUGGGCAGUUGGCUGCCCCAUCACAUGUGGAAUAAGAGGGGGGCAUUAAGUGCAGAGGGAGCUGGUGUCAGUAUGGCAGGCAAACACUGAGGAAAAAUCAGCAUACAUAGUAUACACAAAGAGAAUGAGAAAAAAAUAUUUGUAACACCAGAACAGACACCACCCAGAUGAAAGAAAUAAGAAGGCUUACACGUGGAGAGGAAAAAAGCCUCUGGCAGUGGUCAGUGGACUGUAGAAUGAGCAAGAAAGGCAUGACCAUCCUCCUACCAGUGACUGGUCAUUCUGGAGAGGAUACAUGUGCACAGAUCUGGAAAACCAGGGCUGAAAAGCCUUUUGACACCUUUGGUGACCUAGGACAUGGUCCCCCAAUGUAAGACAUCAUGCUAGAUAGAGGGGAAAAUAGUAAGUUUUCUUCAAAGGCAAAUGAAUACAACUUGAGAUAACUUUUGAAAAGAAAAAAGGUACUGGGACCAUGGCAUGACUUUGAUCUGUGCUAACAUGACCGCCUGCAGAAGCAGAUGAGGAGAGGCAGAAUAAUGUAAAGCUGAAAGCUUGGAGUCACCAAACCAUAGAUAGCUUCACCUCUUACCAAGUGCUUGAUGUGUGGCUAGGUUCUUAAAUCCCCUACAAGUUCCAGCUUCCUCAUCUGUAAAAAACGAGCAAGUUAAGACUGGGUGAGUUAAUAGAUGUAAAAGUACUUAGUACAGUACUCUACAAAUAGUAAGUGCCCAAUAAAUGUUAACUGUUAUUAUUAUGUAUUCUGUCCUUCACUAUGUUAGGCCCUGGGAUGUAGUGGUGACAGGCAAGGCUGCUGCUCUUGUGGUUCUUACAUGAAACAAGGGAACAGGGAAAUAAACAAAAUAAAUGCAGACUAUGAAAAGUGCUAAAGAAUAAAUAAA